rnacentral:rRNA from 1 species
AUUGAACGCUGGCGGCAUGCCUUACACAUGCAAGUCGAACGGCAGCGGACCUUCGGGUGCCGGCGAGUGGCGAACGGGUGAGUAAAGUAUCGGAACGUACCUUUCAGUGGGGGAUAACGUAGCGAAAGUUACGCUAAUACCGCAUAUUCUGUGAGCAGGAAAGCAGGGGAUCGCAAGACCUUGCGCUGAUUGAGCGGCCGAUAUCAGAUUAGCUAGUUGGUGAGGUAAAGGCUCACCAAGGCGACGAUCUGUAGCGGGUCUGAGAGGAUGAUCCGCCACACUGGAACUGGGACACGGUCCAGACUCCUACGGGAGGCAGCAGUGGGGAAUUUUGGACAAUGGGGGCAACCCUGAUCCAGCCAUGCCGCGUGAGUGAAGAAGGCCUUCGGGUUGUAAAGCUCUUUCGGCCGGGAGGAAAUCGCUUAGGCUAAUAUCCUGAGUGGAUGACGGUACCGGAAUAAGAAGCACCGGCUAACUACGUGCCAGCCGCCGCAGUAACAC